CUAAAGGGGAAGUAGGUAGGUCUAGAUGGUGAGUGGGAAUGGCCUAUUACAGCUCUAAGGCAGGGAGUUCAGGUAUGGAUACAGCUGGGGGCUAAUGGGAGGGGCAGAGGACCUGAGGUGGGGGAAAUACUAACAAAAAGUUUUAAUAGAACAAA